rnacentral:lncRNA from 1 species
GACUAAAAAUUAACUAGUUGUGAGCUCGAACACUUGAUUCAGCAGAUCUUCCUAGUGUUGAAACCACACUAAACAUAAUAUUUUAACACUAAUUACAUUACAACAGUCGCACACUAUAAUCGAAAAUCUCUAAACUAUCAUCCAUUCAAUAAUAUAAGCAAUCGAUCCAAACCCGAUAGAUCAAAAAAUCACACAGCAAACCAGCACAACAUACUUUUUUAGCUAUAGCACGAUCAGUGAAUAAACACAACAAUUAAUCAACACACAAGAUUAUCAAAAACCUAAAAUAAAACUCAUGAAUUAAACUCCAGAUAAACAGAUCUGAGAGUAUGACUAAAACAAUAUAAAAUUUCAUUCACAUAGCAACAAAAAAGAAAAGGAGACUUACAAGUGAAGAACAGAAUGUGAAAAUGACAGAGAACAAUGUUUCGUCAACCGAUCGGAUGUAAGAAAAAGUAGAAUUAGAUGCUAAUUGAAGAAGCAAUUGAAUCAGCCAGAAAAUAUCUAUUUAUGUAUUGAUCUAGAGUGAGAGAGAAGAAAGAAGAAAGAAGAAAGUAAACAAACAGCACAAGACAGGAAGUAGUANUUACAAGUGAAGAACAGAAUGUGAAAAUGACAGAGAACAAUGUUUCGUCAACCGAUCGGAUGUAAGAAAAAGUAGAAUUAGAUGCUAAUUGAAGAAGCAAUUGAAUCAGCCAGAAAAUAUCUAUUUAUGUAUUGAUCUAGAGUGAGAGAGAAGAAAGAAGAAAGAAGAAAGUAAACAAACAGCACAAGACAGGAAGUAGUAGUUGAGUCUUAUGGGGCGAGAAGCGUGUCAAAAUAUAGAUAUAGGAUGGGUGUAAGUAAUAUAAGAUGAGGGUGUACGGUG